rnacentral:snRNA from 1 species
AUUGCUUCUCGGCCUUUUGGCUAAGAUCAAGUGUAGAAACCAUUUCCCUUUCACCACAUUUUUUUAAAAAGCUAUU